CCUCACUGUGGGUUGCAGCUGGGGGGUGGAUUUGGGACAAAGUCUGCACCCACAACCCUGAACCUCUGGAUCCUGUGCAAAGGCAAGGUGUGUGGAAUAAACACCUGCUGUGCACCCAGCUGGACUCUACAGCACCUACUGUGUAUUCACACUCCUGCAGGAACCCGUGUUCUUAAAGAUGAAUAAUGCUCCGCCCCCCAUGCUGGGUCUUCUGGGGAUGAGCCACAGCCUGGAGGAGCUGAGGAGGCCACAUCACAUGAGGAAGCUUUACUGUUUCCCCUUCUCCUGAAAUGUGUCUGGGAUGGAGAGUGUGGAGAGUGGGCCCACCUUUAUCUGGGUCCACUCAGGCUGCUGCAGAGACUACCCCAGACUGGGUGGCUGAUAGACAAGACAUUCAUUUUCCACACUUCCUGAGACUGAGAAGUCUGAGAUGAAGGAUCUUGGAGGACCUGGGGAUCAACAGCCAGACUUGGAUGCUCAGGAUGAUUUGGGAUGUGCUUCUAACUACCUGUACUGUCUGGAGAAACCUAGAAGCAAGGAAGCUGCCACCAUGAUGCAGCGGGGAGUCCGAGGCCCUGGGAGGUCAUAUGACUCAUUCAAGGUCAUCCUGCUGUGGCAGAGAUGCGAUGAAGCCCUGGCUUUGACCCCAACCCCAGGUGCCAGAGUCUUCCCUGCCCUGUACAGCCCUGCUCAUGCCAUGGUCUCCUGUGGACGUUCCCUCCUUCCCACGUUGGCGGUAUUGCUGUCCAAGCUUUGCAGGGGAGGAAUCUGAGGAAUUGAGAAGUCAAGUAACACACCCAAUAGGAUAACUAGGCCUUCUUGGCAGCCAACCUCGAAGCACCACAUCGGGCUUUGAAAUGUGCGGGGCCUUUGAGAUUCAGCGCAUCUGAAUCUGAAUUUAUGCCGUCUCACUUGCUGGAAUCUACUGAUCUGUCCACUGUUCCUGGAAGAAAUACUUUGUUUUCAUGUGCCAGUUGCCUUUCCAGCCUGACUGUCAGCCCAAGGUCGCAGAGAAGAUCUGAUUGCAUGUCCUUGAUUUUGCUGCUCCCAUUCCGAGAACCAGCUUCCUCCUCUGGAAGGUCGACUGAGGGGGGCUUGACUGGACUUGGCUCAAGGCUGCAAGUGGUCCAGGUCUGCUCUGUGUGUCUUUCAUCCUCCCCAACCAGUUAGAAAACGUGAUAUCCUCUUCUACGAUGAUGAUGGAAAUACAAAAUUGGUGUUCAGGCACUUCAGGACCUCUCACCUCUGUGAAGGGACUUGGGAGACACCCAGAAAAUGAUGAAAAAUGGAGUGAAUGAGACAUUAAGCCAGUUGUGCACCAUUACCCAGCUCGCAGCCCCAUCUCCUGAGGCCAGUUGCCUAGUGGAUGCUGGAGGCAGCAUUUGGACUCAGGCAGUCGAAUCCCAGAGCCCGAAUCCUGCCGUUCUCACUGUCAUCCUGGAGCUCCAGAGCCUGUGGUCACUCAGCUGGCAACCUCACAGGCAGGCCAGCCCCUCCCCAAGCUCAUUUUCCUUAUGGCCUUGCACUGACCUCAACUUUCUUGGACAUCAAAUGGUAAGUAUGCAACACCUGCCUCCAAGCUUAGUGCAUUUCCUUAUACCUUUGACAAACAUUUACCCUGCAGCUGCUUUGUCCCAAUACGGCAUUGCUGCUUGGGAUCCAGCAAUGACCCAGUGAGAAUCUUGGCUGUCAUGGCAUUGACAGGCGGCACCCUUACUAUGCAGAGUGUGGUCCAAGGACCAGCAGCUUGGGCAGCCCCUGGAGCUGGACAGAACUACAGACCCUCAGCCCUGCCUCAGCCCUGCUGAACUGGGAUCUGUAUUUUAACAAGAUCCAUGAGAUUCAUUCCUAUGAAGGUUGAAGUUUGAAAAGCACUGCCUUGGGCCCACUUCUCACCCCAGGCUUCACAUUAGAAGGCUCUGCUCUGCAGGGCUUUAAAAAUACUGCCCCCUCCCCAGCCCUGCCUCAGGACCCAUUAAAUCAGAACCACUGAUGAUGUUUAAAAGCUCUCAGAUGGGAUCGAGAA